UGCGGCGUAGCUCAAUGGAUAGAGCACCCCACUUUCUAGGUCUAGGCGGUAUAGCAUCCCCUAGAUACGGUGGGGAGGUUGCGGGUUCAAGUCCCGCCGCCGCCGCCA
rnacentral:tRNA from 1 species